AUUGAACGCUGGCGGCAUGCUUUACACAUGCAAGUCGAACGGUAACAGGCCGCAAGGUGCUGACGAGUGGCGAACGGGUGAGUAAUGCAUCGGAACGUGCCCAGUCGUGGGGGAUAACUACUCGAAAGAGUAGCUAAUACCUCAUACGAUCUAUGGAUGAAAGCGGGGGACCGUAAGGCCUCGCGCGAUUGGAGCGGCCGAUGUCAGAUUAGGUAGUUGGUGGGGUAAAGGCUCACCAAGCCAACGAUCUGUAGCUGGUCUGAGAGGACGACCAGCCACACUGGGACUGAGACACGGCCCAGACUCCUACGGGAGGCAGCAGUGGGGAAUUUUGGACAAUGGGCGCAAGCCUGAUCCAGCAAUGCCGCGUGCAGGAAGAAGGCCUUCGGGUUGUAAACUGCUUUUGUAAGGAACGAAACGGCUCUGGUUAAUACCCGGGGCUAAUGACGGUACCGUAAGAAUAAGCACCGGCUAACUACGUG
rnacentral:rRNA from 1 species